rnacentral:rRNA from 1 species
GACGAACGCUGGCGGCGUGCUUAACACAUGCAAGUCGAACGGAAAGGCCCUGCUUUUGUGGGGUGCUCGAGUGGCGAACGGGUGAGUAACACGUGAGUAACCUGCCCUUGACUUUGGGAUAACUUCAGGAAACUGGGGCUAAUACCGGAUAGGAGCUCCUGCUGCAUGGUGGGGGUUGGAAAGUUUCGGCGGUUGGGGAUGGACUCGCGGCUUAUCAGCUUGUUGGUGGGGUAGUGGCUUACCAAGGCUUUGACGGGUAGCCGGCCUGAGAGGGUGACCGGCGACAUUGGGACUGAGAUACGGCCCAGACUCCUACGGGAGGCAGCAGUGGGGAAUAUUGCACAAUGGGCGGAAGCCUGAUGCAGCAACGCCGCGUGCGGGAUGACGGCCUUCGGGUUGUAAACCGCUUUCGCCUGUGACGAAGCGUGAGUGACGGUAAUGCGUAAAGAAGCAACGGCUAACUACGUG